UAAAUGGGAAAACACCAAACCAAAGUUUGGAGCAUAAAAACAUUGUGAUUGCACACAAACCAGAAGUAAAUGAUCUGCUGGUUGUGUGUUCCUCAAUGCACCAGUCUUCCUGUGACUAAACACAUAACAGACACUCAGCCAUCGUGUCACAGCGUUUAAUGUGUCUCUGGAGGUUGACAGAUUAACUGUGAGCUUUUUCUCACAGCAGGCCGAGCUGUUGAGUGAGAAACACCCUCACGCUUCCUGCAUGAACCAUCUCAACAAUUCACAUCAUUUACCCUGGGAAAAACACCUCACUGCCAGCCACGACUUUCCGUGCAAUGCCGACAAAAAAUGAGA